rnacentral:lncRNA from 1 species
GUAGACUUCAGGAUGCCAUGCUGCUGUUUCUUCCCAAUUUAAGGCUGCUCUCGAAAUUCAUCUUAAUCUGGUUCUACUGUUACAAAGGUGGAAGACACUCCCUGCGGCCACUGGGCCCCUCUCUGACAGAUGGCGGGCAGACCACGGUCCUCCUUCCACAAAGCCCACGAACGGAGAUGCAGAACUGGGUGUAGGAACAGAGGAGAGUCCGAAGGUCGCCUCCCAGCUCUGCCCACAGUCUGCCCCACAGCUCCAACAGCAGCAUCCUCUCAGGUGAGAGUCGCCUGGAACACCCCAACGCCGGGCGAGGAAUUUCCUGGAUGCUCAGGCGUUCCCGUGCGCAGCCCAGAGUGGGAACCACCGCCUUAGACACACGCUGACUCAGCUCCUGAUUAUUAAAGAUGAUGUUUCACGCA